AUUGAACGCUGGCGGAAUGCUUUACACAUGCAAGUCGAACGGCAGCACGGAUUUCGGUCUGGUGGCGAGUGGCGAACGGGUGAGUAGUGUACCGGGACGUGCCCAGUCGUGGGGGAUAACGUAGUGAAAAUUACGCUAAUACCGCAUACGAUCUAUGGAUGAAAGCGGGGGAUCGCAAGACCUCGCGCGAUUGGAGCGGCCGAUAUCAGAUUAGGUAGUUGGUGGGGUAAAGGCCCACCAAGCCAACGAUCUGUAGCUGGUCUGAGAGGACGACCAGCCACACUGGAACUGAGACACGGUCCAGACUCCUACGGGAGGCAGCAGUGGGGAAUUUUGGACAAUGGGCGAAAGCCUGAUCCAGCCAUUCCGCGUGCAGGAUGAAGGCCCUCGGGUUGUAAACUGCUUUUGUACAGAACGAAAAGGUUUCUACUAAUACUAGGAGCUCAUGACGGUACUGUAAGAAUAAGCACCGGCUGACUACGUGCCAGCCGCCGCCGUAA
rnacentral:rRNA from 1 species